UUAAACUAAACGUGCAUCAUCUUUUCAAAGCCCUUUCUUGCAGACAACUUGAGAAAACCUAUAGCCAGGGGACCUGUGCAAUAGAGGAAAGACAGUUUUCCUUAAUUGUCUUUCCAUAGAGAAGGCAGAGCUGUUUGAGAACCUUGCUGCCUAAUUUUCCUACUGAUCCCAAGAUAACUACCACCAUCACAACUAGCACCACCACAGUAAUUAUGGCCAAUACCUAUCUGGCACUUACUCUGUGUCAAACUCUAUUCUAAAUGCUACACCUUGCAUCAUCUCAUUUAAUCCUCCCAACUGGAUGAGGGAGCUACUUAGAAGACCACUGGCACCAGGACCACUGAGGCAGAAGCACGGUGAAGUGGAAGGCAGAGGCAGACCCAGAAUGGAGAGACACACAGUGCACCAGAACGUAAUGUCACAAAUGAAAGCACAUGGAAUUGGCAGUCCAAGUCCCGGAUUCCAGUACUUACUGUGUGGAGUGGCAUUAGGCUUCAUUCUCAGGCCGACCUCUCCAUGAAGUGACAACGAGGACCACCAAAAACUUCAGGCUCCUAGCAUCCUGGCAAAUCUAAGAAAAAGAAGCACCUUCUUACCUAUGGCUUAGCUCUAGUAAAAGUUCAGCUCAGGGGCUUGGCCCAGCUUGGGGUACCUGCCCAUCUCUAAGCCAAUGAUGUUGUCAAAGAAAUGCAGCCUAGGACACAGACCUUCCCUGGACCCUAGCUCGAACCUCAGACACUAAGAGUGAAGGCAGAUUGAUUCUUCAAAGGAAAAUCAGGAUGCUGUUUCCUGAAAAGGGGUCCCCAACCCCUGAGCCGCGGACCGGUACCGGUUCAUGGCCUGUUAGGAACUGGGCUGCGCAACAGGAGGUGAGAGAUAGGCAAAAGAGCAUUACAAUCUGAGCUUCGCCUCCUGUCAGAUCAGCGGCGGCAUUAGAUUCUCAUAGGAGUGGAACCCCAUUGUGAACUGCGCAUACAGGGAUCCAGCUUGCAGUGCUUCUUAUGAGAAUCUAACUAAUGCUUGAUGAUCUGAGGCAGAACAGUUUCAUCCUGAAACCACCCCCUCACUCGCAGCCCCCAGUCUGUGGAAAAAUUGUCUUCCACGAAACCAGCCCCUGGUGCCAACAAGGUUGGGGACUGCUGCUGAAAAGAGAGGACAAGGAAAUCUACAAAUAUCUACAACAGCCAAGCAUUUAUUUAUCUUUUUUUCCUUUUUUUGAGACGGAGUCUCGCUCUGUCUCCCAGGCUGGAGUGCAGUGGCAUGGUCUCAGCUCACAGCAAUCUCUGCUUCCUGGGUUCUAGCAAUUCUCCUGACUCAGCCUCCUGAGUAAGUGGGACUACAGGCAUGAGCCACCACACCUGGCUAAUUUUGUAUUUUUAGUAGAGACAGGGUUUCAUCAUGUUGGCCAGGCUGGUCUCAAACUCUGACCUCAAGUGAUCCACCCACCUCAGCCUCCCAAAGUGCUGGGAUUACAGGCGUGAGCCACCAUGCCUGGCCAAUUUAUCUAAAUUUGCCCCUAUUAGUUUACACUCUUAAGAUGUGGGAUAGUGUGGGGACAUGAAACAGAGCACUGAACAUGAAGUUAGAAGACCCAGCUUCAACUCUUUCUACCAUUUAGCAGUUCUCUGAGCCUCAGAUCCCUCAUUUAAAAUGAGGCUACUUAUAAAGAACAAAGCUAGAGGCAUCACAUUACCUGACUUCGAAUUAUAUUGCAAAACUAUAGUAACCAAAAACAUAAUAUACUGGCAUAAAAAUAGACACAUAAAACAAUGGAACAAGAUGGAGAACCUAGAAAUAAAUCCACAUGUUUACAGUCAACUCCCCCCUCCUUUUUUUUUUUUUUUUUGAGAUGAGUCUCACUUUGUUGCCCAAGCUGGAGUGCAGUGGCAUGAUUUUGGCUCACUGCAACCUCCGCCUCCUGGAUUCCAGUGAUUCUCUCACCUCGGCCUCUGGAAUAGCUGGGAUUACAAGCGUGUGCCACCACAUCUGGCUAAUUUUUUGUAUUUUUAGUAGAGAUGGGGUUUCACUAUGUUGGCCAGGCUGGUCUCAAACUCCUGACCUCAAAUGAUCCUCCCACCUCGGCCUCCCAAAGUGCUGGGUUACAGGCAAGAGCCACUGUGCCCAGCCAGUCAAUUCUUUUUUAACAAAAGCAUCAAAAACAUACAUUGGGGAAAGGACAGUGUCUUCAAUAAAUGAUGCUGGGAAAACUGGAUAUCCACAUGCAGAAGAAUGAAACUAGACUCCUUUCUCUCAUCAUAUACAAAAAUCAAAUCAAAUCAAAAUGACUUAAAUACUUAAAUCUGAGACCCCAAACUAUGAAAUACUAGAAGAAAACAUUGAGGAAAUGCUCAAGGACAUUAGUCUGGACAAAGAUUUCCUGAGUAAGACCUCAAAAGCAUAGGCAGCCAAGGGCAAAAAUGGACAAAUGAGAUUACAUCAAACUAAAAAAGCUUCUGCACAGCAAAGGAAACAACCAACAAAGUGAAGAAACAAUCCAUGGGGAGAAAAUAUUUUCAAAGCCCAUCUGGCAAGGGAUUAAUAACCAGAAUAUAGAAGAAGCUCAAUAGUAAAAAUAAAUGUGAUUUAAAAAAUGGGCAAAAUAUUUGGAUAGACAUUUCUGAAAAGAAGACAUACAAAUGGCAAAUAGGCAUGUAAAAAGGUGCUCAACAUCACUUAUCAUCAGAGAAAUGCAAAUCAAAACUACAAGUAGUCCCAGCUACUUUGGAUGCUGAGGCAGGAGGAUGCCUGAGCCUAGGAGUUCAAGGCUGCAGUGAGUUAUGAUCAUGCCACUGCACUCCAGCCUGGGAAAUGCUCAAGUCUGACAAACAAAACAAAAUUUUAAAAAGCCCCACAAACAACUACAAUGAGGUAUCAUCUCACUCCAGUUAAAAUGACUUUUAUAAAAAAGACAGGCAAUAAUGGGUGCUGGUGAUAAUGUGGAGAAAGGGAACUCUCAUAUGUUGUUGGUGGAAAUGUAAAUUAGUACAAUGGCUAUGGAGAACAGUAUAGAGGGUCCUCAAAAAACUAAAAUUAGACCUAUGAUAUGAUCCAGCAAUCUCACUGCUGGGUAUAUAUCAAAAGAAAAGGAAAUCAGCAUAUCAAAGAGAUAUCUGCAUUCCAAUAUUUAUUGCAGUACUAUUCAUAAUAAUCAACAUAGACUCAAUCUAAGUGUUCAUUAAUGGAUGCAUGGGUAAAGAAAAUGUAGUAAAUAUACACAAUGGAAUAUUAUUCAGCCAUAAAAAAUAUGAAAUCCUAUCAUUUGCAACAGCAUGGAUGGAACUGGAGGAUGUUAUGUAAAAUGAAGUAAGCCAGGCACAGAAAAACAAAUAAUAUGAGUGUUCUCACUCAUAUGUGGGAGCUAAAAAAAUUGAUCUCAUGGAGAUAGAAUGUAGAAUGAUGGCUACCAGAAGCUGGGAAGGGUAGUGGAGGAAGCAUAAAAAGGGGGUGGUUAUUGGAUACAAAAAUACAAUGAGAUUGAAGGAAUAAGAUCCAGUGUUUGGUAGCAUAAUAGAGCAACUGUAGUUAACAAUAAUUUAUUGCACAUCUCAAAAUAACUAGAAGACGGGAGCUGGAUUGUUUCUAACAAAAAAAUAAUAAAAGCUUGAGGUGAUGAAUAUCCCAAUUACCCUAAUUUGACCAUUACACAUUGUAUACUUGUAUCAAAAUAUCACAUGUAGCCCAUAAAUAUAUAUAAUUGUUAUGUAUCCAUAAAAAUAAAAAAUAAAAAGGCUAACAGUAUCAUACUACUAUAUCAGAGAGAUGAAUAGAAGAAUUAAAUAAUGAUGAUGCAAACAUUUAUGUAAAGACUAGACAGUAAUAAGAAUAAACACUUUCUGUAGCACAUGGUAUGUGUUGGACAAUGUUCUAGGUGCUGUAGUGUAUGUUAAGUCAGUGAUUCCCAUACUAGAGCCUGCCUCAGAAUCACCUGGAAGGCUUAUGAAAGCAGUUUGCUGGGCCCCAUCCCCAGAGUUCUUGAUUCAGGAGGGUUGGAGCAGGGUCUGAGAAUUUACAGUGCUAACCAAGUUCUCAUGAGGUGCUGAUACUGCUGGUCAGGGACCACACUUGAGAAGCAAUGUAUGAGGUCAUUGCCUCCUCAUAACCACCCCAUGAGGGGCACUAGUAUCCCCCGUAUUGAUGAGUAAAUGGAAGCUCCUAGAGCAGUGGCAGCCCAAGUGUGUGAGCCUGGGAGGGCUGGGUGCAGAGUCCAAGCUCCUUUGUACUGUGAUGUAGCGCCUUGUGUUCAAAGAAGCAAUCACACUGUAACAAUGGAAACCAAAACCAAACCAAGAGAAAGGUGAGAAAAUAAAGGGGAGAUACAACCCAGUGGUGAGACUACUCAUCCUUCCUAAACAUGAUGCCAACAGUUUAGCUAAUGAUCAAAAGAAAGGAUAAAAAUCAUAAACAGGGGUAGGUAAAAGUAUGUGGAUGUUUAAAUUGUUCUAAAAGCAGGUUAAUUUAGAUUAUCC
rnacentral:lncRNA from 10 species